CGUUGUUCCUUAGAUCGAGAAUCCUUAAGGCCCGCAGAUUCGAAAACACGUUCCUCAGCAGUAUUCGUAGCUUAGUGCCGAUCACAUUGAUUUUCUAUCGAUACAGACACAUCUCUUCAAGCUCCCGUAAUUUUCAAGACUGAGUUACUCUAGUUCAAAGUCCGAAGUCAUCAAAUCCACAAUCAUCAAGAAUUUGUCGGAAAAUUGUGCAUCUGAACCUCCUUCAACAUCAGAUGAACCUCCUGAACAUCAGAUGAUGUACGAGAAGGAUGACCUCAUCGAUUUCGAUACUUAUAUGGAACUAAUGCCAAUGAGAAGUUGGAAAUUCUGAAGUUAUAUAUCGAUAACCGACAUCGAUACUUGUCAAAAUUAGGUUUGCUUUGGACGCUUUUGUGUUAACUACGACAAACUGGUAAGGGCCGGUUGUUCCAACUUCUUGGAAAACAAGGAAGGAAAAUGGGUCCCAUAUGAACUGAAGCCAUGAGACAUUGAAAGGCGAAAAACCAUCUGCGAAAUUCUGCUUGCUAGGCAACAAAGAAAGGGGUUUUUGCAUCGUGUCAUCACUGGGGGUGAAAAAUGGAUAUAUUUUGACAAUCCUAAACGUCAAAAAACCAUUUGCGACCCCGGCCAAUCCUCAACAUCGACGCCAAAGGAUUAUCCACGAAAAGAAGGUAAUGCUUUGUAUUUGGUGGGAUCAGAAAGGUGUUGUGUACCAUGAGCUGUUAAAAUCUGGUCAAACAGUCACAGGGCAUCUCUACCGAGGUACAAAUUAUCCGUUUGAGCCGAGCAUUGCACGAAAACGACCGGAAUAUGAAACGAGACAGCAUAAAAUGAUUUUGCUUCAUGCAACGCUCGACCUCACGUCACAAAACUUAUUAAGGAAACAUUAGAAGCACUUCGCUGGGAAGUGCUACCCCAUGCGGCUUAUUCACCAGAUUGUGCCCUUUCCGACUACUACUUGUUUCGGUCGAUGGCACACGCACUUGCUGAGGAACGCUUCAAUUCUUAUGAAAACGUCGAAAAAUGGGUUUCUGACUGGGUAGCCUCCAAAAAUGAGUCAUUCUUUCGCCGCGGAAUUCGCUUGCUGCCCGAAAGAUGGGAAAAAGUCAUC